CUUGUAAGUGUAUGCAUUGAUAAUUUCUUCGGACAAAUUGUAAUUUUUUUCGGCAUACUUAUAUUAUUGGUACUUUAACAGGACCUGGUGGACGAUGAAGUUUACCAAAAACGACCGAACAUUGCUGGCUAUGGUAUAACACGAUAUCUGUUUAAGUGUCAGCCGCUUGGUGAUUAUACAUUUAAUCAAACCCCAGACAUUGAGUUACCUGAUGGUUGUAUGAUGAAGUUUUUGGGGCGCUAUUCCAAACGUAUUUAAUAAACGUUGAAGGAAACGUACAAACGGUCGAUAUCGAUAUAUGAACGGAAUUGUACAAGCCUAUAGUGCGCGAGUGGAUAAAUUGGAGGGAUUUAAAAAUCCGCCACAACGUUGUUAUUGUUUUUAUCGGCGACGUUAAUUUGGCUGAGAUUGCAAAGGAUCGCGAUGGUUUUUGGAUGUGCGUGUGAAACAAGAAAAUUAAGAAAAGUAGUACAGAAACGUAGAAAGUUUAAAGUUAUAGUUAUGAUACCUAAGUUUCUGCUUAUAUAACAUGUAAUAAUAUCGUAUAUCCUUCGUCAUA
rnacentral:lncRNA from 1 species